AUUGAACGCUGGCGGCAUGCUUUACACAUGCAAGUCGAACGGCAGCGGGGAGGAGCUUGCUUCUCUGCCGGCGAGUGGCGAACGGGUGAGUAAUACAUCGGAACGUGUCGAGAAGAGGGGGAUAACCACCCGAAAGGGUGGCUAAUACCGCAUAAAUUCUGAGGAAGAAAGCUGGGGACCUAGGAAUAGGCCUAGCGCUUUUUGAGCGGCCGAUGUCGGAUUAGCUAGUUGGUGAGGUAAAGGCUCACCAAGGCGAAGAUCUGUAGCGGGUCUGAGAGGAUGAUCCGCCACACUGGGACUGAGACACGGCCCAGACUCCUACGGGAGGCAGCAGUGGGGAAUUUUGGACAAUGGGGGCAACCCUGAUCCAGCCAUGCCGCGUGUAUGAAGAAGGUCUUAGGGUUGUAAAGUACUUUUGUUAGGGAAGAAAAGUCAGAUGUGAAUAACGUGCUAUACUGACGUUACCAAAAGAAUAAGCACCGGCUAACUACGUG
rnacentral:rRNA from 1 species